rnacentral:rRNA from 1 species
UACAGAGGGUGCGAGCGUUAAUCGGAAUUACUGGGCGUAAAGCGUGCGUAGACGGUUAUUUAAGUCGGAUGUGAAAGCCCCGGGCUCAACCUGGGAAUUGCAUUCGAGACUGAAUAGCUAGGGUACGGUAGAGGGAAGCGGAAUUUCCGGUGUAGCGGUGAAAUGCGUAGAUAUCGGAAGGAACACCUGCGGCGAAGGCGGGUUGCUGGGCUGACACUGACGCUGAUGCGCGAAAGCUAGGGGAGCGAACGGG